UACGAAGGGGGCUAGCGUUGCUCGGAAUCACUGGGCGUAAAGCGCACGUAGGCGGCUUGUUAAGUCAGGGGUGAAAUCCUGGAGCUCAACUCCAGAACUGCCUUUGAUAUUGGCGAGCUUGAGUUCGGGAGAGGUGAGUGGACUGCGAGUGUAGAGGUGAAAUUCGUAGAUAUUCGCAAGAACACCAGUGGCGAAGGCGGCUCACUGGCCCGAUACUGACGCUGAGGUGCGAAAGCGUGGGGAGCAACAGG
rnacentral:rRNA from 1 species